rnacentral:rRNA from 1 species
UGGGCGUCGACCGGCGCACGGGUGAGUAACGCGUAUCCAACCUGCCCACCACUUGGGGAUAACCUUGCGAAAGUAAGACUAAUACCCAAUGAUAUCUCUAGAAGACAUCUGAAAGAGAUUAAAGAUUUAUCGGUGAUGGAUGGGGCUGCGUCUGAUUAGCUUGUUGGCGGGGUAACGGCCCACCAAGGCAACGAUCAGUAGGGGUUCUGAGAGGAAGGUCCCCCACAUUGGAACUGAGACACGGUCCAAACUCCUACGGGAGGCAGCAGUGAGGAAUAUUGGUCAAUGGACGAGAGUCUGAACCAGCCAAGUAGCGUGCAGGAUGACGGCCCUAUGGGUUGUAAACUGCUUUUAUAAGGGAAUAAAGUGAGUCUCGUGAGACUUUUUGCAUGUACCUUAUGAAUAAGGACCGGCUAAUUCCGUGCCAGCAGCCGCGGUAAUACGGAAGGUCCGGGCGUUAUCCGGAUUUAUUGGGUUUAAAGGGAGCGUAGGCCGGAGAUUAAGCGUGUUGUGAAAUGUAGACGCUCAACGUCUGCACUGCAGCGCGAACUGGUUUCCUUGAGUACGCACAAAGUGGGCGGAAUUCGUGGUGUAGCGGUGAAAUGCUUAGAUAUCACGAAGAACUCCGAUUGCGAAGGCAGCUCACUGGAGCGCAACUGACGCUGAAGCUCGAAAGUGCGGGUAUCGAACAGGAUUAGAUACCCUGGUAGUCCGCACGGUAAACGAUGGAUGCCCGCUGUUGGUCUGAAUAGGUCAGCGGCCAAGCGAAAGCAUUAAGCAUCCCACCUGGGGAGUACGCCGGCAACGGU